rnacentral:misc_RNA from 1 species
UUUUUCUUCCUUCUUUCUUUGCUAAAUCUCCUUCUCAAGUGAGGGUAGUAAGGUUUUAUGAAAUAAUUGUGGUGGAAAUUAAGGUUAAGUGAGGGAACAAAAGCUUGAGUGCAAGCUUCAAUGGAGUUUUGGUGAGGGAGAGGGAGAGUGAGAGUGAGACGGCAAGGGAUGAGGAAGAAGAACUUUUUGUAUUUUUUUUUUUUUAUGUCUUAGGAAGACUAUAAAUCAAUUUAAUUAAAUUUAUUAAUUAUAGGAUUUAUG